CUACAGACCUAACGUUUGCCUAAGCUACACUAAGAAACACUGCAUGAACUAAAGGUCGUGAAAUGAUUUUCCAUUCAGAUUGAUAUGUCGUCAUUACCAUUUACUAUUUGGCCACUAAUAGACAGGAUUAUGAGAGUCCCAAGAAACGCUUUUGUUGAGCUUGAUAUCAUCUUUAUUUUCUAUUUAUUAGAAGGUGGACGAUUACUAAUUUCUUUAAAGCUUUUGUAGUAAAACAUUUACUUUAUUUAUGAAAGGCUUAUCAUCAAUAUAAUCAUAUAAUCAUUUGUUCUUAAACUUUUUGGUAUAUAAAUCAAGUAUUGAUUUCUAUAAUUAUGUAACAUUUUAACUUCCUUCUCCAAAA